UACGUAGGUGGCAAGCGUUGUCCGGAUUUAUUGGGUUUAAAGGGUGCGUAGGCGGUCUUAUAAGUCAGUGCUGAAAUAUCCCGGCUUAACCGGGAGGGUGGCAUUGAUACUGUAGGACUUGAGUAGAGUUGAGGUUGGCGGAAUUGACGGUGUAGCGGUGAAAUGCUUAGAUAUCGUCAAGAACACCGAUAGUGAAGACAGCUAACUAAGCUCUAACUGACGCUGAGGCACGAAAGUGUGGGGAUCAAACAGGG
rnacentral:rRNA from 1 species